AGCUCUCGUCUCCAGGACCUUCCGGAGGUUGAUGAUUUGCAGCAGAGGUGCGCUAUGCGGGCGGCCAAGCUGCGUGAUGUGGAGAGCACAACAGGUUAUCUUCCGAGCAACGGCUCUUAUCCGUUCCUGGUCGCUACUCACUCCGACGGAGGCCAGGGAGCUUUUGGUUACUGCUGCUAUCCGAUGGGAGAUGGUAGCUCGGGAUAUAUUCAGCCGGUUUGGAUGGCGGUCGUGUAACAGGAUAGGCAAUUAGUUUACCUGUCUAUUUUGGAGCCAAACGGCUGUGAUGUAUAAGUGCUUUGGCUAGCUUGUGUAUCUAGCCUUCGGGCUCUGUGUGAGCCUUUUCUUA